rnacentral:rRNA from 1 species
UGGGGGAUAUUGCACAAUGGGGGAAACCCUGAUGCAGCAACGCCGCGUGAAGGAAGAAGGUCUUCGGAUUGUAAACUUUUGUCCUUGGGGAAGAUAGUGACGGUACCCAAGGAGGAAGCUCCGGCUAACUACGUGCCAGCAGCCGCGGUAAUACGUAGGGAGCGAGCGUUGUCCGGAUUUACUGGGUGUAAAGGGUGCGUAGGCGGAUAAGCAAGUCAGUGGUGAAAUCUAUGGGCUUAACCCAUAAACUGCCAUUGAAACUGUUUGUCUUGAGUGGAGUAGAGGCAGGCGGAAUUCCCGGUGUAGCGGUGAAAUGCGUAGAGAUCGGGAGGAACACCAGUGGCGAAGGCGGCCUGCUGGGCUUUAACUGACGCUGAAGCACGAAAGCAUGGGUAGCAAACAGG